GUCGUGUCGCUCCUCGCGGUGUCUUUCGGUGUCGCGGCGUCGAUAGCCUUGUCGCGACUCGCUUUGCAUGUCGACGUCGGCAUCUAUGGAACGGCGGGGUGGCUGAGCGUGACUGCGUUUGCGGCCAUUGCCGUAUCCAGUCUCCGUAGUGGCUGACUUACGCCAGUCGAGCGUUUCGGGCCGGAUGUGGCUUCCAAUCGAACAUGCGGCCUCAUGG
rnacentral:misc_RNA from 1 species